rnacentral:rRNA from 11 species
GCUAAACAGAUUGGUGCCUUAAGCACACCAGAUCCUGUCUGACCUUGGAAGCUAAGCAGGGUCAGCCCUAAUUAGUAUUUGCAUGGGAGACUGUGAAUGGUUACUGGGUGAGGUAGGCU